rnacentral:tRNA from 1 species
UGGCUCAGAUGGUAAAGUGUCUGUCUGCAAUGCAGAAGACCCGGGUUCGAUCCCUGG